ensembl:lncRNA
GAGUCCAUGGGGCUCAAGGGCUUGAUGAAACAAUCAAGUGCACAUUCACUACGGAGUCCUCAACCAUGCACGCUGCCCUUUUCUGUGCCUCCAAAGCCCUGCCCUUGAAGAGCCCAGAGACAGGCUGAAUGAAAGAACACGACGUGGAUCUACCAUUGGCCCUUCCAGGGUGUGUAGUUCGCUCAGAGAUGAAGAGCAAGGGCAUUACCAGGAAGGGGAACAGCAUAAGCUAAGGCCUGCAGAGCAGUCAUGCUGGAGAGGAGAAGGCCAUCAAGCCCUGGUCUGCAGGAAAAGCCAAAGCAGGGCCCCUCGCCUCCAUCCCAUCCUGCCUGCCCUCGUCACCUGCAUGGCAGAGAGAUGGCCUCUGCUCCUGCAGUGG